GACGUAGGGCGCGAGCGUUGUCCGGAUUUAUUGGGCGUAAAGAGCUCGUAGGCGGCUUGUCGCGUCGUCCGUGAAAACCUGCAGCUCAACUGCAGGCUUGCGGUCGAUACGGGCAGGCUAGAGUUCGGUAGGGGAGACUGGAAUUCCUGGUGUAGCGGUGGAAUGCGCAGAUAUCAGGAGGAACACCAAUAGCGAAGGCAGCUCGCUGGGACGGUACUGACGCUAAGGCGCGAAAGCGUGGGGAGCGAACAGG
rnacentral:rRNA from 1 species